UACGUAGGGGGCGAGCGUUGUCCGGAAUUAUUGGGCGUAAAGAGCUCGUAGGCGGCUUGGCAAGUCGGAUGUGAAAACUCCAGGCUCAACCUGGAGCCGCCAUUCGAUACUGCUAUGGCUAGAGUCCGGUAGGGGAGUGUGGAAUUCCCGGUGUAGCGGUGAAAUGCGCAGAUAUCAGGAGGAACACCAAUGGCGAAGGCAGCUCGCUGGGACGGUACUGACGCUGAGACGCGAAAGCAUGGGGAGCAAACAGG
rnacentral:rRNA from 1 species